GACGAACGCUGGCGGCGUGCUUAACACAUGCAAGUCGAACGGAAAGGCCCUGCUUUUGUGGGGUGCUCGAGUGGCGAACGGGUGAGUAACACGUGAGUAACCUGCCCUUGACUUUGGGAUAACUUCAGGAAACUGGGGCUAAUACCGGAUAGGAGCUCCUGCUGCAUGGUGGGGGGUGGAAAGUUUCGGCGGUUGGGGAUGGACUCGCGGCUUAUCAGCUUGUUGGUGGGGUAGUGGCUUACCAAGGCUUUGACGGGUAGCCGGCCUGAGAGGGUGACCGGCCACAUUGGGACUGAGAUACGGCCCAGACUCCUACGGGAGGCAGCAGUGGGGAAUAUUGCACAAUGGGCGGAAGCCUGAUGCAGCAACGCCGCGUGCGGGAUGACGGCCUGCGGGUUGUAAACCGCUUUCGCCUGUGACGAAGCGUGAGUGACGGUAAUGGGUAAAGAAGCACCGGCUAACUACGUG
rnacentral:rRNA from 1 species